GGCCCCUGUCAGGAUCACACCUGGAGAGUUUCCAGUACUCUACCAGUCGUGACUAUUGGGGGGAGAGUCAAGCAGAGGCAUACCCAUUCCAUUCCUAGCUUGGGCAGUGGCUAGCGAGUGGAAGGCCAUCUGCUACAAGU
rnacentral:snoRNA from 1 species